rnacentral:rRNA from 1 species
AACCUGGUUGAUCCUGCCAGUAGUCAUAUGCUUGUCUCAAAGAUUAAGCCAUGCAUGUCUCAGUAUAAGCUUGAUUACUGCGUAACUGCGAAUGGCUCAUUAAAACAGUUAUAGUUUCCUUGAUGACCACUUCUUACUUGGAUAGCUACGGCAAUUCUAGAGCUAAUACAUGCUUAAAGACCCAACUUUAUGGACGGGUUAUGCUUUUCAGGUACCGUUCCAACCCCCUUCGGGGGCCCCUAAGGUGAUUCAUGAUAGUCCAGUGAAUCGUCUAAUGCAGACGCUGAAUCCUUCAAAUUUCUGACCUAUCAGCUUCCGACGGUAGGGUUUUUGUCUACCGUGGCUUUGACGGGUAACGGGGAAUUAGGGUUCGACUCCGGAGAGGGAGCCUGAGAAACAGCUACCACAUCUAAGGAAGGCAGCAGGCGCGUAAAUUACCCAUUUCUGACACAGGGAGGUAGUGACAAGAAAUACCAAUAUAAGACUUAUUCGUUUUGUAAUUGGAAUGAGUACAACUUACAACGCAAUACAAGUAUCAAGUGGAGGGCAAGUCUGGUGCCAGCAGCCGCGGUAAUUCCAGCUCCAAUAGC